rnacentral:lncRNA from 1 species
GGUUGGCUCUCUUAUACGGGAAGAGUCUCAAGUCGGGGUAUUCAUUGGUUGACUAUCCCUGCACAUCUUGUUAGGCAAGACAAGUUUUGGGUUGAAGGUUUUGUGGGUGAAUUAAUGUCCCCCUCACUCCUCUGGAAGUCCCACCUGGCUCUGGUAGGAAUCUCAGCUAGGAUUACCCCUAUAGGCUCCCCAUACUCCCCUCCCAGAGAUGCCCCCCACUGAUUUCCAUUCUCACUCCCAGCCCUGGCUGUGCUCCCUCCCCGUAACUGAUUGCCAUCCCUGUUCCCCUCCUCAUUCCCUCUCCUACUCAGUUCCUUCUCUCCAUCCACCUCUCCUGAGUGAGAUUCUUGCAUCCUCCCUCAAGAUCUCCUUAUUACUUAGUUUCUUUGAGUCUAUGGAAUGUAGCAUGGUUAUCCUGCCCUUUAUGGCUAAUGUCCACUUAUAAGUGAGUACAUACCAUACAUGUCUUUCUGGCUCUGGGUUCGAUUCUAAGCAAGCACCCACAUGGUGACUCACAAACAUCUAUAAAUCCAGUUUUGUUUUGUUUUGUUUUUUUAAGAUUUAUUUAUUUAUUAUAUGUAAGUACACUGUAGCUGUCUUCAGACACACCAGAAGAGGGAGUCAGAUCUCAUUAGGGAUGGUUGUGAGCCACCAUGUGGUUGCUGGAAUUUGAACUCAGGACCUUCGGAAGAGCAGUUGGGUGCUCUUACCUGCUGAGCCAUCUCUCCAGCCUAUAAAUCCAGUUCUAGGGAAUCAGAUGCUCUCAUUUAGUCUCUUUUGGCUCUAGACACAAUGUAUGGCACAGAUAAAUAAUGUUCAGGCAAAACAGUCACACAUAAAAUACAAUUACUUACAAAAAAUUUUUUAAAAGUGAGCCGGCCGUGGUGGCGCGCGUCUUUAAUCCCAGCACUUGGGAGGCAGAGGCAGGCGGAUAUCUGAGUUCGAGGCCAGCCUGGUCUACAGAGUGAGUUCCAGGACAGCCAGGGCUACACAGAGAAACCCUGUCUCGAAAAACAAAAAAAGAACAACAAAAAAAAAUUUUAAAAAGCUAAGCAUGAUGGUGUGCACUUAACAAUCCCAGCACUGGGAAGAGAGAGACAGGGGGCUCUCCAAGGCUCACUGAUGAACCAACAUAGCUGAGCCAACAAACCCAUAAAGCAAGGUGAGUGGUUCCUGAAAAGCAGCAUCCAUUGCUGACCUUGGGGACACACACUCUGGCACGUACAUGCGCACACAUUCUUGAGUUCAUGGUUCUACAUCACCGAUAAAAACGGCAUGGUGGAAGCUUGGGAAGCUGAGGCUAGCUUUUAAAAACACAUUCUUCUCCAACUUGCCAGCCAUUUCUUGAAUAUGACAUUAGCUUUGUCCCCUUUCAACCUGAUAAGCUUUUAGUUAUCACUCAAAUACACCCCAUCUCCUAACUUCCCUUCCUCUACCCUCUGGGGGACUCCUGCUUCCUCAGCUCCUCUCUCAGUCUCUCACUCAGCUUUGGUGAUGGCACUACCAGUUCUCUAUCUUCUUACCAGAUUUUAGGAGCUAGCCAAGGGCCAUACCAUAGCUCAUUACAGAAUCCCUCUUGCAUAGUAUAUAGUUGGUAAAAGUAUGUGGUAUGCUGAGCCAGAAUAAACCCUAUUCUCUUUAAAUGUGUUGUGUGACUAUGCAGAUGCCUUAGUGAGCCUGGAAAUGGGAAAACCUCCUGGGUAAAGGUGGUGUUUGUGGGGUGGGUAUGGAUGCUGGAGGAUGGAAGUUGUUUUCUUAGCAGCUUUCAUAAAGGAUGGUGUCACACAAGUGGGGAGGCAGUAAGGAGAAGGCAAGGUCCCAUAGUGGACAGGAAUCUCUGAAGCCCCAUGUUUUAAGCCAUCCUGUUACGAGACACAGACUGACUUUAGACACCGCAGGGGAGGUGCUUCGGCAGCUUCACAUAUGUGAGCAGUCAUUUGGUUGGUUGGUUUUUGUUUUUAUUGUUUUUGUUUGUUUGUUUUUGAGACAGGGUUUCUCUAUAUAGCCCUGGCUGUCCUAGAACUUACUAUGUAGACCAGGCAGGCCUCUAACUCAACAGAGAUCUGCCUGCCUCUAUCUUGUGAACAGAUUUCUCAACCUUUCUAAUGCUGUGACCCCCUUAAUACAGUUCCUCAUGUUGUGAUGACCCCCAUCCAUAAAAUUAUUUUUGUUGCUAUUUUAUAACCAUAAUUUUGCUAGUUAUGAAUUGUAGUUUAAAUAGCUGAUAUGUAGAUAGUAACUUCUGUGAAAGGGUCGCUUGAUACCACCCCCAAAAGGGCUUGCGAUCC